GGGAAGGAACAUCAACACGGUGGAGAUUAUACGGGCCAUGGGCGUGCGUGAAUUAAAGACAAAAUAUGAAUCGACAUUUGUCUAAUUGACCUGUAAUAAUUUCUAGUUCAGCCCAUUCAAGAAUUUUCACCAAUGAGCCCUGAUUAACACCUCAAUGGAUAGAUGGCGAAUAAAGUUCAAUCGAUAGCCAGAUGUUCGCUUCUCGUUCCACUUGCCUGUGACAUCAUCGGUCUGGACAUCGUUAGGUCGCCCGACGAGGUGGCCUGUGUCGGUCGGAUCCAAAGUGCGGUGGUCAUGAGACGCCAUCGAUAGCGUCGGUCAACGCAAUUGCCGGUGAUCUUAGCAUUCGUCGCGGCGAUGGUUGCGUCACUCUGAACGAAAGGGCUUGCAUGGAUUUUUUUAGGGUUGAAA
rnacentral:lncRNA from 1 species